ACACGGGGAGGCGGCUGAGGCCCAGCAAGAAUUCAAGCUCCGCGGGGGCAGGCCAGCAGUGCUGGGGGACCCGGCGCACCCUCCGCAGCUGCUGGCCCGGGUGCUAAACCCCUCACUGCCCGGGCCGGCGGUGCCGGCGGGCUGCUCUCAGUGCGGGACCUCGGAGCCUGCGCCCACCCGGAACUAGCCGCGUUCAGCCCUGGUUCCCGCCCCCGCCUCUCCCGCCACACCUCUCCACAAGCAGAGGGAGCUGGCUUCAGCCUCAGCCAGCACAGAGAGGGGCCCCCAUAGCGCAGUGGCGGGCUGAAGGGCUCCUUGAGCAUGGCCAGAGUGGACGCCAAGGCUGAGGAGGCGCCGAGAGCCAGUGAGGGCUGCUAGCAUGUUGUCACCUCUCAAUACAUAAAACUACUGGAGGGUGGUUCCAAGAUGGCCAAAUAGGAACAGCUCCAGUCUACAGCUCCCAGCAUGAGUGAUGCAGAAGACGAAUGAUUUCUGCAUUUCCAACUCAGUAGAGAGCUGACUUUAGAGGGAUCAAGAAUAGCUUGCUGGAUGGAAGGAGCUUGGGGCCAGUCAUCAUCUUAAAGGCUCUGUGGCAGCUUGGACUUGAAGUAGGGUGCACCCGGAAUUGACCAAUACAAACAGUGGACUGCACUGGAUUCUUCUUGUGCCCUGUCUCAUAUCCUCUUGUCCCACCUUUUCAUAACAGCCAUUGCCAUGGGAACCAGCUGCAUCCAGAUCACAUCCAGGGGCCAAAACCAGUUCUGUGAGCCACUGGAUGAAGACAUUGACCAACUAGAAAGCAUCUGCAGAGGUCAAGUAGGACCAUGGGAGAUCCAGAUUCCAUUUAAACAAGAAUGCCUUAAAGAAGUGGGAAUAUUUAGCCUGAGUGAGAGAAAAUGCUCUUACUCUGUGUGUGAUCAGAGGAGGAGAAAGGAGGACAAAGUUACAUCAAUGUGAUCAGCAACCAUUUGAUAGAGCUACUGUGCUCAAGAGGGGACAGUUUGAUUUAUACGUUUGACAAGGUGGAGCCAGGAUCAAUGAGUGAACAUUAAAGGAAAGAAUAUUUGGGCUCAAUAUUUGGGCUCAAUAUUUUGGGCUCAAUAAUUUGGGCUCAAUAAGGAGGACUUUCCCAAUAAUUACAACGUUCCAAACUUGAAAUGGGGUGUCUCAAAAAGGAGUGAGUGCCCUGUUACUGAAAACAUUUAGGUUAGGGCUAAAUAGCCAUCAAUUAGGGUGAUAUAAUGAGAUUCCUGUGACUGUUCCAACAAGCAUCUGGUGUGCACCAGUCAUGUAGAUUCUAAGAGACACUGAGAGCAAAGAGAAACACUUCCUCCCUCAAAGAGCUCAGGGUUUCAAGAGACUGACAUGUAAACAAACUGAUAAUAAUGGCAAUUUGGUAUAACAUAUGCAAUUUGGAGUAACGUGUGCAAAGGAACAUGGGCCAAAUUUUAACUACUAGAGAGAGAAAAGCUGAUGCUCUGCUAGGGGUAGGAGGAGGCUGAGAAUGAAACUAGAGAGGAUUUUAGGGAGAAGGUAAUGUUGAGCAGAUUUGAAGGAUAUGUAGGAGUUUUUUGUGGACACUAUUGUUCAAUUAAUGCUGGUCAAUAAGGAGAACACUCAGGAUAAGUGGGGCAGGGGUUGGGGGUUGCAAAAGACAUGGAGGUAGAAACAGCAUGGCUUAUCAAGGACCCAACUGGUUUGAAAGAUCUUCAGCAUAAGGUGGUGGGAAAGGGAAGAGAGGGGAAGUGGCAGGAGAUCAAGAAGAUGGGAGAGCAAGAAAGAGAAUGCCUUUGAUCUUGAACAGAAGGGCUUCCCUCAUGGAGAUGAGAGGAAAUGCAUAGCAAUGUGGAGAGAGUAAGGGCUGGUCAGUAAGAUUAACAUGGCUGGUGACAACAUAUUUCUCAGUGAAUAACUGAUCAACAUAAGACGAAUGAAGUUGUGUAGGGGUCUCAUGGAGACUGUCCUAAAGACUUAGCAUAAUUGUGGGCAAUGUGAAGGAAAGGCAAAAUAAUUGAUAGAUAGCAUCAAGUACCGAAAGGGAAAAUAUUAAAAUUUGUAGCGUCAGUCCACACAGGCCUCUGAUUUUCUUUAAGAGCACUCAGAUGUGUAGGGGGUCAGAGGAGAUGGGCUCUAAGGUCUUUUCUAAGUUCAAGAUUCCCAAACUCCAUGCCUUGCCAUUAUUCCCUCUUGGGCAUAUGGGAUAUUUUGUAAUGGCUUUUAAAAAAUAUAUACCAUAUAAUUGCCAAGGAAAAUUGUCUAAUUAAAUGAUUUUUAGUAUAUUCACAGAAUUGUGUUAGUAUCAUCCUAAUCAAUUUUGGAAAAUUACUCCCAAAAAAAAUCCUGUACAGGCAUACCUCAAUUUAUUGUGCUUCACUUUACCGUGUUUCACAGAUACUGCGUUUUUUUCCAAAUUGAAGGUUUGUGGCAACCCAGUGUUGAGCAAGUCUAUUGGUGCCAUUUUGCUAAUAGUAUGUGCUCACUUCGUGUCUCUGUCACGUUUUGGUAAUUCUUGCAAUAUUUCUAACAUUUUCAUUAUUGUUAUGUUAUGGUGUUGUGAUCAGUGAUCUUUGAUAUUGUUAUUGUGAUUGUUUUGGGACA
ensembl:lncRNA novel transcript